rnacentral:lncRNA from 1 species
CUAAUGGGAGGCAACACCUUUAGAAAAAUUUCCAUCCAGUAUAAACACCUUUACAAUUAUUCAACACAUGUUAUUGUUUCAAGACCAUUAAAGGCUAGUGUCACAAUUAACUCAAACCAUGAAGAUGUGCAUCAAAAAACUUGACUAUCGAAUUAGAUGCAAACAGUGGUGUAAUUCCUUAAACAGACAAAUUCGAAGCAACUCAACACCCAAUGGCACAAACUACUUUGUGUGACAUUUACCUAUAUGGCUCAACAAAUUAAUGAGUUAACUUCAACCUCCAACCAAUUGCUGAAAAACCAAACUGUGGCAGAUUAUUGUGUAACUCCAAAGCACUAAAUCAAAUUGAAACAUGAUUCUAAAAUUCAUGAAAUUAAUUCAAACCCUGGCACAGAAUACCAAAUCAACAAAUACUAAGCAAAUAAUUAGAUGUAAAAGCUAUUCAUAUAUAUUCAAAAGAGGAUUUCGGCUAAAUGUAUACAUACCGAGGUAUCGAACAUAAACUAGAGAUAACCACAACAGUUCUGAAAUAGAAGGCAAAAUCCAACAGCAGAACAGAGACAAACCAGCGACCAAAGGAAUUCAACUCAAUGGCAGCGGACAACAGUUCAAUCUGACAGAUUUCCUAGCUAGUGCCUGAAUCAGAAGCUCUAAACCCAAAUAUCACUUGACAUUCCAGAGAAAUCGAAGUAAAAAAGUAGAAGUGUGAAUAGCUUUCAAAUCCUCCUUUAUUUCCGUUUUGGCUUGUAUUUGAAACUCUCUUUCGAAUUUUCAAAGCUGGGCUUGAAUUUUGGACAUGAAUCGAUGGCACCCGUCUAGAGGAAAAUGAAGAACAGAGUAAUCCCUUGCUCUGUGUGACCAGGGAACGGAGAUGAAGAGCUCUUGAAGAGGAUUUCGGCUAAAUGUAUACAUACCGAGAUACCGACAUAAACUGGAGAUAACCACAACGGUUAUGAAAUAGAAGGCAAAAUCCAGCAGCAGAAACAGAGACAAACCAGCGACCAAAGGAAUUCAACUCGACGGCAGCGGACAACAG